UACGAAGGGGGCUAGCGUUGCUCGGAAUCACUGGGCGUAAAGCGCACGUAGGCGGACUCUUAAGUCGGUGGUGAAAUCCUGGAGCUCAACUCCAGAACUGCCUUCGAUACUGAGAGUCUUGAGUCCGAGAGAGGUGAGUGGAACUGCGAGUGUAGAGGUGAAAUUCGUAGAUAUCAGGAAGAACACCAAUGGCGAAAGCAGCUUUCUGGGACGGUACUGACGCUGAGACGCGAAAGCGUGGGGAGCGAACAGG
rnacentral:rRNA from 1 species